rnacentral:lncRNA from 1 species
UCAAAAAUAUCUUAGGGUUUCUCAAUGGCUGCUGAGGUUGAGUACAGGUGCUUUGUUGGUGGCCUUGCAUGGGCCACUACUGACCAAUCCCUUCAAGAAGCGUUUAGCCAGUACGGUGAAAUCAUCGAUUCGAAGGUCCGUUUGCCUUCGCAGAAACGGAUCUGACCCGGCCCGAUCGGUUUCGGCUCUGGCGAUCCAUUAUCUGUUCUGUUUGUGUUACUAUUUGUUACUGUUCUCUGUUCUCUUUUAUGUUACUGUCACUAACCACCAAUCGGUACGUUCAUCUUCAGUGCUUUGGCUCGAAGAUCGAUCGAUUUGUUCAUUUUUCUUUCUUUAUUACGAUAAUACCUUUAGAUCUGAUCGGGUUUUAAUUGUACGCAGAUCAUAAAUGACCGUGAAACUGGAAGAUCUCGCGGCUUUGGAUUUGUGACAUUCAACAACGAGAAGGCAAUGAGAGAUGCGAUUGAUGGAAUGAACGGCCAAGAUCUUGAUGGGCGUAACAUCACCGUGAAUGAAGCGCAAUCUCGCGGAAGCGGCGGCGG